GGGACACCAUGUUGAAAGUGGCAACACUUUCUGUCUAAUCAGGGGCAUUAUGCCCUUUCCCUCAUUCUUGCGUCUUCUAGUUGCUGGCUGGCUGUGAGCUAUGCUAUAUCAACUGGCCGUGAGCUACCAUGAGGUACGUUUUUUUUCAUCUCUUUUUUUGUCAGUGGCUCCAUGCUGUAGUGUUUUGCGAUAUUAUUUCUUCUUGUUUACUUUCUGAUUAACUGAUGAAAAGAUCCAAGUAUGUUUUCUGCUACCUAAUUAUGUCUCUCAUCUUGUCCAGUUCCACUAAUCCCCCUCCUGUGCUUAUUCUGAUCAGCACUUAUCAGUGCUGUUAAUUAGGUUCAACCAAAAAAAUGCUGUUAACUAGAAACAUCGUAAUGCACUAAUGCUCUCGCUCUCACAAGCAAAAUUCUGUUCUAUCCUUUCCUGCAUUAAGCAUUUUGGAUCGUAUUUUCUAUUUGUAGCUGACUGUUCAGCAUGGGAUUAUUUUAAAAUGUAGGAGAAACAUAAAAGUUAUACUAGUUUCUACCAUCUGUCUCAUGAUGCAGUUUCGCUGUGAAAAAAGGCUGGCAGUUGCAUAGGUUUGUUGCUGAAGUAUUGAUAUUUUUCUCAGUAAAACUACACAGCAGAUUGCUGGAACCAACCUGACAUAGGAUGCUUAAUGUUAUCAUGCUACAUCACUGCAUUUGGAAUCUGCGUUCAACCAAGACUGAUUUACUGGUUGCCUGACUCUACCAUUUCAGGUAAAUUCUGUUUGUUGUUUGAUUAUCAUCAACUUCAUUAACACGCGAGGCAUAUUUUCUGAUUCAUCCGCCUUACCUUAACAAUGCUGUUAACUAGGCUCUCCUGCAUGUUUCAAUUUUAAAAAAUGCUGUUAACUAGAACCACCGUAAUGCACCAAUGCUCUUGCUCCCACGGACAAUUUAUUGUUUUGUCAAUUCCCCUCUGUUAAGCACUAAAUUGGCCCAAAUUUUCUAUCUGUAGUUGACUGUUCAGCAUGACAUAUGCUUUCAAAAUGUUAGGAGAAACAUAAAUCUACUAGUUACUGCACCAUCUGUCUCAUGACGCAGUUUCACUGUGAAAAGAGGAUGGCAGUUAGCACUAGGUUUGUUGCUGAAUCAUUGCUAUUUUGCUCUAGGUUUGUUAUUCAGUAAACCCCCCGCAGCAGAUCACUGGAACCAACCUCACAUAGAUGCUUAAUGUUAUCAUGCUACUACCUCACUGCAUUUGGAAUCUGUGGUCAACCAGAACUGCCCAUUGAUUUGCUGGUUGCCUGGCUCUACCAUUUCAGGUACGUUCUGUUUGUUGUUUGAUUAUCAUCAACUUCAUUAACACGUGAGGCAUCUUUUCUGAUUCAUCCGUCAUACCUUAUCUUACAAUUAAUCAUGUAUUUGCUUGCUUUUACAUGGUGGACAUUUGUUUCAGCUUUCGGCCAAGUUAUAUUGCACAGUAGAAAAAAUAAAGUGAAGUAUUUUUUUUUUGACUAUUUACUGCAAGGCAACAGCCUCACAGUCCUUUAUUAAUAAAAAUAAAGUGAAGUUGCAAAAGAAGUUUGCUCGUAGAAAUGAAAAAAAAAACUAUGCCAUUGUAGCGACAGAAUAAAUUGGAUGCUAUGAAUCUGACAUUUCUCUAGGGAUCCUGUUAACAUCUUCAUCAUCUUAUAAGCAGAGCGAAUUAGGAGCUUAUUUGACUAAUAAUUUACCUUGUUAUUCUGGAGCCUGCAACGCGCAUCUAUCCUAAGUAGGAUGAAUUUCACUGAUGAAUAACUUUGAUGGUGUCAGGUGUGGAUUAGCAGUUGACCAUGUCCACAAAAAACUGAGGAAGGUACAGUAAUUCAGUUGGUGACGAUCUCCAUCUCAUACGGAAUAUGGACAUCUAUAUAUGAACCUUCCGGGAACUAAACGCUCAACCCGUGCCGUCGAACGAGUCGAUAGGGGUGGAUGUCCAUGGUGGGGUCGUCACUGAAUUUGACGUUGCUGGAGAUGUUCUCGUCGAGCUCAAGGCACCUGCGUUGAGAUACUAGGCCUUGUAAGAAGCUUUGGAUAAAAAGAUGGGAAAAGAAACCACCCUGUUUCUAUAACGGGGCAACAAAUAUUUUGAAAGCUAAAAUGCUACUAUUUGUGGAACGGAAGGAGACCACACCGUAAUUAAAGAUGGAAAGUAGUCG
rnacentral:lncRNA from 1 species